rnacentral:rRNA from 1 species
AACGAACGCUGGCGGCAGGCUUAACACAUGCAAGUCGAGCGCCCUUUUCGGAGGGAGCGGCAGACGGGUGAGUAACACGUGGGAAUCUACCCAUCACUACGGAACAACUCCGGGAAACUGGAGCUAAUACCGUAUACGUCCUUCGGGAGAAAGAUUUAUCGGUGAUGGAUGAGCCCGCGUUGGAUUAGCUAGUUGGUGGGGUAAAGGCCUACCAAGGCGACGAUCCAUAGCUGGUCUGAGAGGAUGAUCAGCCACACUGGGACUGAGACACGGCCCAGACUCCUACGGGAGGCAGCAGUGGGGAAUAUUGGACAAUGGGCGCAAGCCUGAUCCAGCCAUGCCGCGUGAGUGAUGAAGGCCCUAGGGUUGUAAAGCUCUUUCACCGGUGAAGAUAAUGACGGUAACCGGAGAAGAAGCCCCGGCUAACUUCGUGCCAGCCGCCGCGAUAA